UACGUAGGGUGCAAGCGUUAUCCGGAAUUAUUGGGCGUAAAGAGCUCGUAGGCGGUUUGUCGCGUCUGCUGUGAAAACCCGAGGCUCAACCUCGGGCCUGCAGUGGGUACGGGCAGACUAGAGUUCGGCAGGGGAGACUGGAAUUCCUGGUGUAGCGGUGAAAUGCGCAGAUAUCAGGAGGAACACCGGUGGCGAAGGCGGGUCUCUGGGACGGUACUGACGCUGAGGCGCGAAAGCGUGGGGAGCAAACAGG
rnacentral:rRNA from 1 species